UUUAACAUCAGAUGGAUAGGAAGACCAGUGCAUAAAUAAAAAGGAUAAGUCAGGCUCCAGAGCCGUUCCAUCUCUGCUCAGACAGCCAACCUGGCUGCCAAUAGUUUAAUAGAUCAAGUGAAAAAGAGUGCCAGCCUGAUUCUCCCAAGCCCUGUCUCACCCCUCAUCCUUAGUGCAGACAAAUGCAGAGUUGGAAGUGUUAGCAAUCUUUGAGGGCAGCAGACAGGCCUGCCUAAGAGAAAAAGAUUUGGAGGAAGCAUUCAAUCCUGUGAAAGAAACUAGGGAAAAUCAGAUCAGAGAA